AAACUGUCUGCCCUCCAAGAUCGAAUUAAGCCAGCCCACAGCCUCCGCCAAUUUGGCUCGCUUUCCUUCGUCCAAGGGGGCUCCAAUAAACAUUGUGGGGAACUGCAUAGCAUUGGCCAUCAUUAAUAAUAAGACAAAAGCGUCAUCUGUGCGCUUGUGUAGCUUUUUUAACAAGUAAUUAAAAUAAACAUAUUUGCAGAUCACAUGGUCGUCUCAUUUACAAACGGCACUUACAUAGUAUUCCGUGAGUCGCAUGUAGAGGGUGCCAAGAUCGAAAUGGAGGCGUUGGUCCACCAAAGCCCUCACUCUUAUGUCCGUGGGAUAUAGUUCGUCACUCUUGCCGUAAGCAGCCACCAGGUAGGAGAGUAUGGCCCUACUGCAAGACCCUCGUCGUUCAUGGUCGGCACACAGUGCUGCGGGUUCAUAGCCACAAAGUCCGGCUUCAGCUGUUCCCCCUCCAGAAUGUUGACGAUCUUCAGUUCGAAGUCGAUGUCGAGCAUCUUGGCCAGCAGCAGGAUGCUGC